AGUGAACGCUGGCGGUAGGCCUAACACAUGCAAGUCGAACGGCAGCACAGGAGAACUUGCUCUCUGGGUGGCGAGUGGCGGACGGGUGAGGAAUACAUCGGAAUCUACUCUGUCGUGGGGGAUAACGUAGGGAAACUUACGCUAAUACCGCAUACGACCUACGGGUGAAAGCAGGGGAUCUUCGGACCUUGCGCGAUUGAAUGAGCCGAUGUCGGAUUAGCUAGUUGGCGGGGUAAAGGCCCACCAAGGCGACGAUCCGUAGCUGGUCGGAGAGGGUGAUCAGCCACACUGGAACGGAGACACGGUCCAGACUCCUACGGGAGGCAGCAGUGGGGAAUAUUGGACAAUGGGCGCAAGCCUGAUCCAGCCAUACCGCGUGGGUGAAGAAGGCCUUCGGGUUGUAAAGCCCUUUUGUUGGGAAAGAAAUCCAGCUGGCUAAUACCUGGUUGGGAUGACGGUACCCAAAGAAUAAGCACCGGCUAACUUCGUGCCAGCAGCCGCGGUAA
rnacentral:rRNA from 1 species